UAUCUCUGUAGAGUCUGCAUAUCAAUAAGCGGAGGAAAAGAAACUAACAAGGAUUCCCUUAGUAACGGCGAGUGAAGCGGGAAGAGCUCAAAUUUGAAAUCUUCAAGGUUCUACCUUGACGAAUUGUAGUUUAAAGAAGUGUUUUCUGUUAGAUGAGUAGCAAAAGUUCCUUGGAAUGGGACAUCAUAGAGGGUGAGAAUCCCGUAUUUGGUUAUUCAUUCUAGCUUUGUGAUACACUUUCAAAGAGUCGGAUUGUUUGGGAAUGCAGUCCAAAAUGGGUGGUAAAUUUCAUCUAAAGCUAAAUAUUGGCGAGAGACCGAUAGCGAACAAGUACCGUGAGGGAAAGAUGAAAAGAACUUUGAAAAGAGAGUUAAACAGUACGUGAAAUUGUCAAAAGGGAAGCGUUUGACACCAGUGUUGUUUUUCCGAAAAUCAAUUACGAAUGGCUUGAUUUGUGUUGUAUUGACCUUAUCAGCUUUCUGCACUUUUUUCGAGUCUUUCUUAAUGCACUUUUCGGUUAACAAGUCAACAUCAAUUUCUUUUGUUGUAAAAGAGUAUUCGGAAGGUGGCUUUCUUUUCGGAGAAAGUGUUUAUAGCCCUAUACUUCUACAAUCGGAGAGAUUGAGGUCUGCAGCGUAGAUCCUUCGGGGUUAGAUACACUUGUGCUAAGUUGUAGCUUUUCAUAGACAACUUGUUGACUAUGCUUAGUCAUGCGGCUUACUCGCUUAUGCUAUUUUACCUACGCUUAGGAUGUUGACUGAUAUGUAGUCGUA
rnacentral:rRNA from 1 species